AGUACGACAAAUGAGAGUUACGUCCCUUGCCUAUCGAUUGGUGAUCCUCCCAUCCUUGAGGAAUUUCUCAAGACCUUUUGAAGCAUGGCGGAGUGUGAGGCAGUCGAGUCUGAGAUCAGACACGUUCUAAUCACUGGUGCACGAGGUGUGGGCAAGACAACCGUAUUACAGAAAGCCUGCGAGGAAUUGGAGAAACAGGGUUUUGCACUUCAUGGAUUUUACAGGGAAAAAGUUCGACAUUUUGGUCGAGGAAAAGGCUAUGAUGUGGUCAGCCUGAACAAAGAAAGGGCAAAGCUGUCGCGAGUGGACGACGAAGGAGGUUUCCUCAACCGUCAUGAUCCGAACCGAAGUGGUCGCUAUCUCGUGCAAGUGGAAGAGUUCGAAGAAUUCGUUUUGCCUCUGUUGCAUGCUAGCAAUACCGGAAUAACUGUUAUAGACGAAAUCGGAAAAUUAGAAGCCUACAGCCGAGGAUUCCACCAAGCCGUGCUCAGUCGGUUGGACGAUCCACGCUCGAAAGUUUUCGCCACGAUUCCGGCGAGAAAAGGACGACCCAUUCCUUUGGUGGAACAAGUACGGAACCGAACGGAUGUAAAGAUUUUUACAGUAACCAAAGAGAAUCGCCACGGCAUUCUGUCGAACGUUCUAAGUGUAAUGAAAAAAAUUGCUUCUGAAAAUUAAUUUUCGUGAAAGAAUUCUCCAUUUACACUGAAGUUGUAUAAUAUAUGUAAGUAUAUAUUGCUUGGACGGAUCAUGGUCGAGACAGCCAAAAAAAAAAAGAAUCAACAACACUCCCUUUCGUCUCAACUUCAAAAUCUCUCGUUAUAUCUAGACGAAUUGUUACCCUCUUCUCUCUAUACUUCUUACAGCCUUUUUCAUCUCAUUUUUUCCUCGCUUCCCAACCAUCUUUCUUUGACAUUGCAUCUAUGUGUCUGUCUCUCUUUCUUUCUUUCACACACCCAUUUUCUAUUAUCCCAAACGAGAGGUACCCGCAUUGUUAUUGACUACACGGAACACUAACUGCAAAACAAAUGUCAAUUGUACAGUGUUAUUACUGUUUUAUUAUCAGAAAGAUUGUUGCUGGCACGAAUCGGUAAAACACCAAACAAAAUACUUUUUGGAAUUGAACUUUUUUGUGUUCUGAAUCCAAACUAUGUUGGAGAUCGAUAGUAUCGAUCUCAGUAGUAUAUUGAUAUCAAUGUAAUUAAUUGCUAACGCACUGGCGUACAUUCGUGGCGCCGUCACUGCUAAUGCUCCUGACUACCAAAUUUAGGACCCGGUUUCAAUUUCUCUCUACAGAUCAAUAUUUGUAUAUUUUGCUCUCAAGAUUUUUAUGGCUUGAACGAAUCAGAAUUGCUCAGCAGAACUUUUUAACAUUCCCCCAUGUCAACUAUAAUAAAAGCCAGAGCACAGACAUAUCCACUUACGAUCCAACAUACAGGUUUUUUUUUAUUACGUUAUUGAG
rnacentral:misc_RNA from 1 species